GUGUCAGCAGCCGCGGUAAGACAGAGGUUGCAAACGUUGUUCGGAAUCACUGGGCAUAAAGCGCACGUAGGCGGUCUGUUAAGUCAGGUGUGAAAGCCCCCGGCUCAACCGGGGAAUUGCAUUUGAUACUGGCAGGCUCGAGAACGGUAGGGGUGAGUGGAACUCCAGGUGGAGCGGUGAAAUGCGUAGAUAUCUGGAGGAACACCGGUGGCGAAAGCGGCUCACUGGACCGUCACUGACGCUGAGGUGCGAAAGCUAGGGUAGCAAACGGGAUUAGAAACCCGUGUAGUCC
rnacentral:rRNA from 1 species